UGCUUCGAACAGUUAAACGUUUAGGAAGAACUAUUUGG
rnacentral:rRNA from 1 species